rnacentral:rRNA from 1 species
AACGAACGCUGGCGGCGUGUCUUAAGCAUGCAAGUCGAGCGGCAAGGAAGUGCUUGCACUUCCCUAGAGCGGCGGACUGGUGAGUAACGCGUGGGUGAUCUGCCUUUGGGUUGGGGAUAGCCAUUAGAAAUAGUGGGUAAUACCGAAUACGUUCGCAUAACUACGGUUAUGCGAGGAAAGGCGCUACGGCGCCGCCUGAAGAUGAGCCCGCGUCAGAUUAGCUAGUUGGUGAGGUAAUGGCCCACCAAGGCGAUGAUCUGUAGCCGGCCUGAGAGGGUGUACGGCCACACUGGGACUGAGAUACGGCCCAGACUCCUACGGGAGGCAG